AUGGUACGCCAUUGGCGUACUCUCGAAAAAAAUAAGGAUCGAUGCAUCCUCUGCGAUCAAGUACCCGAAGAUUUUCAGCAUCUCCUCGCUGGGUGUUCCUUCUCUCGCCAUGUCUGGCAUGGGGUCUUGUCUUGGUGUCGUUCUACGGCAUCGCUACCCGCCCCAACAUUGAGUCUCUCUGAGUGGUGGGAGGAUACAUGCCGUGAUGCUCCCAAUGCCCACCGGCGCGGCCUCUCUUCUCUCAUCAUGUUGACGGCCUGGAGCAUAUGA
rnacentral:rRNA from 1 species